rnacentral:rRNA from 1 species
GUGGGGAAUAUUGGACAAUGGGGGGAACCCUGAUCCAGCCAUGCCGCGUGUGUGAAGAAGGCCUUUUGGUUGUAAAGCACUUUAAGCGAGGAGGAGGCUACCGAGAUUAAUACUCUUGGAUAGUGGACGUUACUCGCAGAAUAAGCACCGGCUAACUCUGUGCCAGCAGCCGCGGUAAUACAGAGGGUGCAAGCGUUAAUCGGAUUUACUGGGCGUAAAGCGCGCGUAGGCGGCUUUUUAAGUCGGAUGUGAAAUCCCUGAGCUUAACUUAGGAAUUGCAUUCGAUACUGGAAAGCUAGAGUAUGGGAGAGGAUGGUAGAAUUCCAGGUGUAGCGGUGAAAUGCGUAGAGAUCUGGAGGAAUACCGAUGGCGAAGGCAGCCAUCUGGCCUAAUACUGACGCUGAGGUACGAAAGCAUGGGGAGCAAACAGGAUUAGAAACCCGGGUAGUCC